AUGUCAUGUCAGGAAGUGAGUCAAGAGAAAACGAGUGUGCUUUAUUCCAAGAAUGUUUCUAGAAGAGAGAGUGAUAAUCAUAGGAAGCUUCAUUCAGUUGCACGGGAAUCUCUCACAAGACCUAAAGCUCUUGGUGGUAUUGGUCUUAGGAACUUGGAGGUUUUGAACACAGUUUGUAUUAUGAAGUUUGGGAGGAAAAUCAUAAUCAAGUCUCAGGAUCUAUGGUGCAACAUUUUGCAAGAUAAAUAUGUAGCUAAGAAUAAUGAGGAGAUUAUCAUGUAUAGAAGAGCUGACUCUAGUCUUUGGAAGGACAUAGCCAAGAGUAUUCCAAACCUUCGAGAUUAUAGUUGUUGGUAUGUUGGGGACUGA